rnacentral:rRNA from 1 species
AAGACCUCGCGCUAUUAGAGCGGCCGAUGCCCGAUUAGCUAGUUGGUGAGGUAAUGGCCCACCAAGGCUACGAUCGGUAGCUGGUCUGAGAGGAUGAUCAGCCACACUGGGACUGAGACACGGCCCAGACUCCUACGGGAGGCAGCAGUGGGGAAUUUUGGACAAUGGGCGAAAGCCUGAUCCAGCCAUGCCGCGUGAGUGAAGAAGGCCUUCGGGUUGUAAAGCUCUUUCAGCCGGAACGAAAUCGUCCGGGCUAAUACUCCGGAUGGAUGACGGUACUGGAAGAAGAAGCACCGGCUAACUACGUGCCAGCAGCCGCGGUAAUACGUAGGGUGCAGGCGUUAAUCGGAAUUACUGGGCGUAAAGCGUGCGCAGGCGGCUUUUCAAGUCAGAUGUGAAAUCCCCGGGCUUAACCUGGGAACU